CAAGUCGAACGCGAAAAGCCCCGCAAGGGGUAAGUAGAGUGGCGAACGGGUGAGUAACACGUGGGUGACCUACCUUCGAGUGGGGGAUAACGUCCCGAAAGGGACGCUAAUACCGCAUAACAUCCUGCUCUUGAACGAGUGGAGAUCAAAGCCGGGGAUCGCAAGACCUGGCGUUUGAAGAGGGGCCCGCGUCUGAUUAGCUAGUUGGUGAGGUAACGGCCCACCAAGGCAACGAUCAGUAUCCGGCCUGAGAGGGCGGACGGACACACUGGGACUGAGACACGGCCCAGACUCCUACGGGAGGCAGCAGUGGGGAAUUGUUCGCAAUGGGCGCAAGCCUGACGACGCAACGCCGCGUGGAGGAUGAAGGUCUUCGGAUUGUAAACUCCUGUUGCCCGGGACGAAAAGUUUCGACCUAACACGUCGAGAUCUGACGGUACCGGGUGAGGAAGCCCCGGCUAACUCUGUGCCAGCAGCCGCGGUAAUACAGAGGGGGCAAGCGUUGUUCGGAAUUACUGGGCGUAAAGGGCGCGUAGGCGGCCUUCUAAGUCGAACGUGAAAUCCCCGGGCUCAACCCGGGAACUGCGUCCGAUACUGGAAGGCUUGAAUCCGGGAGAGGGAUGCGGAAUUCCAGGUGUAGCGGUGAAAUGCGUAGAUAUCUGGAGGAACACCGGUGGCGAAGGCGGCAUCCUGGACCGGUAUUGACGCUGAGGCGCGAAAGCCAGGGGAGCAAACGGGAUUAGAUACCCCGGUAGUCCUGGCCCUAAACGAUGAAUGUUUGGUGUGGCGGGUAUCGAUCCCUGCCGUGCCGAAGCUAACGCAUUAAGCAUUCCGCCUGGGGAGUACGGUCGCAAGGCU
rnacentral:rRNA from 1 species